CCUACGGGCGGCAGCAGUGGGGAAUAUUGCACAAUGGGGGAAACCCUGAUGCAGCGACGCCGCGUGCGUGAAGAAGUAAUUCGUUAUGUAAAGCUCUAUCAGCAGGGAAGAAAAUGACGGUACCUGAGUAAGAAGCCCCGGCUAACUACGUGCCAGCAGCCGCGGUCAUACGUAGGGGGCACUCGUUAGCCGGAUUUACUGGGUGUAAAGGGAGCGUAGACGGCAGUGCAAGUCUGGAGUUAAAGGCGGGGGCUCAACCCCCGGACUGCUCUGGAAACUGGACGGCUGGAGUGCAGGAGAGGUAAGUGGAAUUCCUAGUGUAGCGGUGAAAUGCGUAGAUAUUAGGAGGAACACCAGUGGCGAAGGCGGCUUACUGGACUGUAACUGACGUUGAGGCUCGAAAGCGUGGGGAGCAAACAGGAUUAGAUACCCCUGUAGUC
rnacentral:rRNA from 1 species